rnacentral:rRNA from 1 species
AGUUUGAUCCUGGCUCAGGACGAACGCUGGCGGCGUGCCUAAUACAUGCAAGUCGAGCGAACUUGCGGGAGCUUGCUCCCAAAGGUUAGCGGCGGACGGGUGAGUAACACGUGGGCAACCUGCCUAUAAGACUGGGAUAACUUCGGGAAACCGGAGCUAAUACCGGAUAAUCCUUUUCUACACAUGUAGAAAAGCUGAAAGACGGUUUACGCUGUCACUUAUAGAUGGGCCCGCGGCGCAUUAGCUAGUUGGUGAGGUAACGGCUCACCAAGGCCACGAUGCGUAGCCGACCUGAGAGGGUGAUCGGCCACACUGGGACUGAGACACGGCCCAGACUCCUACGGGAGGCAGCAGUAGGGAAUCUUCCGCAAUGGACGAAAGUCUGACGGAGCAACGCCGCGUGAGUGAUGAAGGUUUUCGGAUCGUAAAACUCUGUUGUUAGGGAAGAACAAGUACGAGAGUAACUGCUCGUACCUUGACGGUACUUAACCAGAAAGCCACGGCUAACUACGUGCCAGCAGCCGCGGUAAUACGUAGGUGGCAAGCGUUGUCCGGAAUUAUUGGGCGUAAAGCGCGCGCAGGCGGUCCUUUAAGUCUGAUGUGAAAGCCCACGGCUCAACCGUGGAGGGUCAUUGGAAACUGGGGGACUUGAGUGCAGGAGAGAAGAGUGGAAUUCCACGUGUAGCGAUGGAAUGCGUACAGAUGUGGAGGAACACCAG